rnacentral:tRNA from 1 species
UCCUGGGUGGCUCAGUGGGUUGAGCAUCUGACUUUGGCUCAGGUCAUGAUCUUGCAGUUUGUGAGUUCGAGCCCCACAUCAGGGU